UACGUAGGGUGCAAGCGUUGUCCGGAAUUACUGGGCGUAAAGGGUUCGUAGGUGGCUCGCUAAGUCAGACGUGAAAUCCCUCAGCUUAACUGGGGAACUGCGUCUGAGACUGGCAAGCUUGAGUGCAGGAGAGGAACGCGGAAUUCCAGGUGUAGCGGUGAAAUGCGUAGAUAUCUGGAGGAACACCGGUGGCGAAGGCGGCGUUCUGGACUGCAACUGACACUGAUGAACGAAAGCCAGGGGAGCAAACGGG
rnacentral:rRNA from 1 species